AGUGAACGCUGGCGGUAGGCCUAACACAUGCAAGUCGAACGGCAGCACAGUAAGAGCUUGCUCUUACGGGUGGCGAGUGGCGGACGGGUGAGGAAUACAUCGGAAUCUACUUUUUCGUGGGGGAUAACGUAGGGAAACUUACGCUAAUACCGCAUACGACCUACGGGUGAAAGCAGGGGAUCUUCGGACCUUGCGCGAUUGAAUGAGCCGAUGUCGGAUUAGCUAGUUGGCGGGGUAAAGGCCCACCAAGGCGACGAUCCGUAGCUGGUCUGAGAGGAUGAUCAGCCACACUGGAACUGAGACACGGUCCAGACUCCUACGGGAGGCAGCAGUGGGGAAUAUUGGACAAUGGGCGCAAGCCUGAUCCAGCCAUACCGCGUGGGCGAAGAAGGCCUUCGGGUUGUAAAGCCCUUUUGUUGGGAAAGAAAAGCAGCAGGUUAAUACCCCGCUGUUCUGACGGUACCCAGAGAAUAAGCACCGGCUAACUUCGUG
rnacentral:rRNA from 1 species